rnacentral:lncRNA from 1 species
UGAAAUAGAAAGUCAUUGGAUAGUGUUAGGAAGAGACAUUGAAAAUAUCGAGUUUGUUGUUUCUUGUAAGACUAAUUGUAUUAAGCUACUUAUAAUGACAUUUUUUUCUUGGGUUGGAAGUGAAUCAUGCACACGUAGGUGAUGUUUGCAUCGAAUUGGGUUACCAAUUAUUGUGUUCUCUAUUUUUCCUGCUCCAUCGUCUUAAUACG